GUAGCAAUACCGGGUGGCGACCGGCGCACGGGUGAGUAACGCGUAUGCAACUUACCUAUCAGAGGGGGAUAACCCGGCGAAAGUCGGACUAAUACCGCAUGAAGCAGGGGUCCCGCAUGGGGAUAUUUGCUAAAGAUUCAUCGCUGAUAGAUAGGCAUGCGUUCCAUUAGGCAGUUGGCGGGGUAACGGCCCACCAAACCGACGAUGGAUAGGGGUUCUGAGAGGAAGGUCCCCCACAUUGGUACUGAGACACGGACCAAACUCCUACGGGAGGCAGCAGUGAGGAAUAUUGGUCAAUGGCCGAGAGGCUGAACCAGCCAAGUCGCGUGAGGGAUGAAGGUUCUAUGGAUCGUAAACCUCUUUUAUAAGGGAAUAAAGUGCGGGACGUGUCCCGUUUUGUAUGUACCUUAUGAAUAAGGAUCGGCUAACUCCGUGCCAGCAGCCGCGGUAAUACGGAGGAUCCGAGCGUUAUCCGGAUUUAUUGGGUUUAAAGGGUGCGUAGGCGGCCUUUUAAGUCAGCGGUGAAAGUCUGUGGCUCAACCAUAGAAUUGCCGUUGAAACUGGGGGGCUUGAGUAUGUUUGAGGCAGGCGGAAUGCGUGGUGUAGCGGUGAAAUGCAUAGAUAUCACGCAGAACCCCGAUUGCGAGGGCAGCCUGCCAA
rnacentral:rRNA from 1 species